CACAGCAGCAGCAAAAACAGAGAGCGACUCCAGAUCAGUUUUCACUACGACAGCUUCUGUGAUCACUGAAGAUUCAGCAAAACUACAAGCUCUCUUGAGGCACAUCCUCGUGUCUGUGGGUUUAGCAGCUCUCAUAAUGAUUGUUGUGGCGGUCAACAUAUGGACAAGAACUAAAGAGAAGCAAACACAGAUGGAUGAAAUCAAUGUGCGUUAUGAUGUAGAUGAUGGUACAGUGAACUAUGAAAACAUCAGACCUCCUGAUGGAGUUUGAGCAACACUUCUGCCUCCAUCAGACUCCACUGAUUAAC